ensembl:lncRNA
CUGGGUGCGAGAUGGGAAUACACCCUGGAUGGUACUCCAGUCCAUCGCAGCUUCACUAACCACUUGCCCAGUAACAUCCUGACCAGGAUCGCUAUGGAUCUGGAGCACAUUGUGUUUCAAGAAAAGUGAUGGAAUGACUGUUAAAGCUACUACAAUAUAAGUUAUAACAAGAACUAACUUGUUUCACAUACAAAAAUAAAGCUUCAUGGCGAAUGCCGUCUUCGUUUUGAUGGAUCGCUUGCUGCUGGUGAACUUUUCAGCAUAGCGGGUGCCAUGUCUCGCUCCGUCUAUGUCUUUGUGCUCCAUGACAAGCCAGUGUCACGGGAAAGAAAAAAAACAUUCUAUCAAUUUUCUGCACUCAAACUGUAUUGGAGUGUACUGAGCAGACUGCGCACUGCAGGGGAGAAUGACUAAUACCUACGCAGCAGCUAUCCUGGUUUCCCUAAGACAUUCUCCAGACAUCAGCAACCAUUGCCACUUGGGUCUGGGCUGUAGCAGAUCCAGAGACGAUCCUGGGAACACUGGACACGAGCAUAGGACCAAGGCUAUUUCCCUCCAUCUGGUCCAGGUAUGUUUUAUUUUUCUUCCUGUAAUUAGUGCACAAUUAAAUUGAACUCAAUUUGAUUUAUAUGGCUCUUAACAAUAGGCAGGUGACUCUCUGAGACGAAAAGGAAGAAACCUUGAGACUCAAAACUGGGUGACACAUGCGAUUACAAAUCAUUCCUCUUCUACUAACUCUAUACUGUAAGAGCAAACUGGACAGUUUUAGUGAUUACAGAAGUACCUCUUAGGUACAAAUCCCACUGAGACUUCCAACAUGAGGUGCAGGUACCAGCUCAAGGCUUAUUAUUGGAGUCUCAUCAUCUCAUGAGACUCUUUCCCUUAAGCCAAUGCUUUAAUUUCAGUGGCUUUUUUUACCCUCCUUUAGGACGAACUCUGAAAGUUACUACUUUUUGACAAUCUUUGGCCGAGAUAUUCCUGUGGCAUCCCUAAUAAAUAUAUAAUAAAUGAUAUGCUUAUUUAAUGAUAGCUAAAUCAGGCACACAUUGAUAGAUUUCAUUUCCCAUCCACAGUUAAGUAAAAAACACCUCCAUUUACUGUGACAGGAAGUGAGAGUGCCAUAUCAGGGCAUCUUUCAAGUGGAGAACUCACACCUGCACAACUGUCAGUCAUUCUGGAUGCAUAUGUCAAUUGGCUCAUCUGCUGUUUCUACUAGGGGAAAAAGAACAGUGCUCUUUUAGUAUAUUUUUGCACUCCAUUGUUAAAAUGGGAAGCUCCUAUGCAGAAUGUGAUUGGCAGGUACAAAAUGGUCAUUUAUUUUUAUUUUUUUCUACAGAUUUUGGAGUAGUGGUGGUGGGGGCAUGGGGGCUUAGUGGUUAGCAUGUUUGCGUCGCACCUCAUGGGUUUUGGGUUUAAAUUCCAUCUCUACUCCACAGCUUGCAUGCUCUCCCCAUGACCUGGGGGCCCCUUCCGGGCACUCCGUCCCCCCCGCCCAGUCCA